GACAGAGGAUGCAAGCGUUAUCCGGAAUGAUUGGGCGUAAAGCGUCUGUAGGUGGCUUUUUAAGUCCGCCGUCAAAUCCCAGGGCUCAACCCUGGACAGGCGGUGGAAACUACCAAGCUGGAGUACGGUAGGGGCAGAGGGAAUUUCCGGUGGAGCGGUGAAAUGCGUAGAGAUCGGAAAGAACACCAACGGCGAAAGCACUCUACUGGGCCAUUACUGACACUGAGGGACGAAAGCUAGGGGAGCGAAUGGG
rnacentral:rRNA from 1 species